rnacentral:misc_RNA from 1 species
UUGCAGUGCAUGCCCUCAUUUAUACACAGUAGAGAGAAACAUAUCACAUAUAGUAUCAAGCAUCUCUCUUUGAUUAGUGUAGUUCUUUAUUUCGUAGGUCUUGGGAAUUUGUGAAGUCUAUAUGCGUGGCACUCUAUUCUUCUUUUCUUUCACCAAUUUCUGAGCGAAUCUGCAGCCACAAGUAAAGAAAUGUUUCCCUUAGAUAUAUGGAUUCAUAUCCAUCUGAAUGAAUAUGAAGUAGUGGACUUCUUACUCGGCCAAAGCGUCUUUAUAAUAAUAUUGGAGUUUCUCCAAGUUCCCAAUGUCUGGGUUCACAACCGUAACAUUUUUAUGUAAAAGACAUUGUCCAAUGUUCUUCAGGUUAAAAAUAUUCACCCUUGACACAUUCUCCAUCUUCUCAACCUCCCCCUUCAAUUCAUACUCCUGAAUACGCAGAUAAUUUUUAGAGAACCCAUCGCAGUGGAAGAGGUGUAUAACUCAACUGCAUCGCUGACUGUAUUGCAUAGAAACUCAAAUCUGAAUUUCCGUACUACUUCUUUGAAAAGCCAUUCUGCUAAACCUUGUCCAGAAUAUGGUGUUAAGUCUACUCGACCCGUCCCAAGCGACAGAACCAAAUAAUUCUUGUAGUUUCUUUCAUUUCCGUAAGUUUUCGUUGCUUCGCAGAGUGCAGCUAAGGUAGGAUUAUUUGCACAUAUGCCACCAUCAAAAAAGCCUUCUUCCUGGCCCUUAAAUUUGAUCUUAUGUGGAGGAAAAUAUGUUGGAGCUGCAGAGGAGGCUAGAACUACAUCUGUAAGACGAAAGUCUUCUUAUACUUUGCCCUUGUAAUCUGUCGUCAUAUCCGAAGUGAAAAUGACAGGUUUUGUCUUCCUAAUUCUGAAAGCAGGGAUAACCAACUUUGUCACAGUUUCACGCAGCCCAACUUGUCCUAACUCUUUGCCCACUGCAUAUCUAAGAGCUGAGGGUCCAUGUCUGGUGAGUAUAGCCAUGGCAGCCUCAAACCAAUUUAUGGGAGAAGCAAAACGACACAGAAUAUAUUGCAAUGCCUCCUUGAUCUUUUUAGGAUACUCACGCACAUGAAAAAUCGGGUUUCCGAAGAUUCCUUCCCCUCUCCUCUCGUAAAAAGAGACGAAUUUUGAUGCAUCAAACUUGGGGCUUGGCCUCCAGUUUAGCUUAUCACAUCUUCUAUUCUCCGGCGCAGUUAGCAUCGGUGUCAAUAUCGACCCUGUGCUAACUCCGGCGAUUAUAUCAAAGUAAUUUGCGAUUCUUGCAUUAG